AGGGAAAUUAGCAGUUGCUACAACAAUCACUGUUGUUCUCCUGGUUAUCAUUUCCCUCUGUCUCUUCCUGUGGAUCAGGAAAAAGAGGGCUUCCAAGGAAUCAUCUGAGCCUGAAGAGAGACCAGACAACAGGGAACAGUUUCUACCUGAACAGCCAGAGCAGCAGGAUAACCUUCAGUAUGCCAGCAUUCACUUCACCAACAACCAGGCAGAUCCUCUCUACUCCAACAUCAGACCAGCUCGCUCCCUCAGACACACGGAGCAGCAAGAGUCAUGGAGUACGCUGUUGUCACAUUUAAGAGUAAUACUGCCCCGAGAUCCAGAGGUCAGGAAACUGGAGAGGAUGUAGCUGCAUUGUACAGCACCGUCAACAAAACCUAUUGAAUACAACAGAUAUUACAUUUCUGAUAUUUCUAUGUUUCUUUAUGAACUGAUUUAAGCAGAUAACUAUUGAUUUUUACAAUAUAUUUCUCAGGAUGGGCCUUAAAAAAUGGGCUAAUUAAUUAUAUACCUUAGAGAAACUUUUCAACAUAACAUCCACCAGUAUAGCAGUAGGGGUGGUGAUGGAGCAGUGGAUAAGACACAUGCCUUCAGAUUCCCACUGCGACACAUCCACCAAUGUGUCCCUGAGCAAGACACUUAACCCCUAGUUGCUCCAGAGGCGUGUGACCUCUGACAUAUUUAGCAGUUGUAAGUUGCUUUGGAUAAAAGCGUCAGCUAAAUGAUAAAUGUAACCAGUGUUCAGCUUAGAUUUUUACUCUGCAUGUGCAGCUUUAAAGAAUGUGUAAAGUAUUUUAUGACUUAAAGCAUUAACUUGAAUAU